rnacentral:rRNA from 1 species
ACACGACUACAUUAGAUACCCGGGUAGUCCCAGCCCUAAACGAUGCGCGUUAGGUGUAUCGGUGACCACGAGUCACCGAGGUGCCGAAGGGAAACCGUGAAACGUGCCGCCUGGGAAGUACGGUCGCAAGGCUGAAACUUAAAGGAAUUGGCGGGGAGCACCACAACGGGUGGAGCCUGCGGUUUAAUUGGACUCAACGCCGGGAAGCUCACCGGAUAAGACAGCAGAAUGAUUGCCGGGCUGAAGACCCUGCAUGACCAGCUG